GCUGGUUAUUCGGGAAAAGGAUCUAAGUCCAAUUUUAAUUCUUUCCAUAACAUUAAAUAUGCCCAUAGACUUAAAAUUUAUUCAAAUAAGGUACAGCCUAUUUGAAACAGGAUACAACCUACAACAGAGGGUAAUGUUUAAACAAGUGUGACUAAGUAGGCCCAAAAGCAGCCAUCUUUCAAAAAGCGUUAAAGCCUUAUCACAUCCAACUAUUAAUACCAACCCUAACCCAAAACCCCUCUCCACUACUGAAUGACUUCAUAUCUAUAUGAAAGCCCUUAUAUCAGAACUAGUAACAAGAAUAAAUAUUCUCUAAUUUAUGUAAGUAUAAGCCGAAAUGGACCACCCAUCGGCACUCACCGUCAAUGAGCCCACAGUAACAACCCCCCUUCGAGAAAAUCUUACUCUUCAUAACGUUAACCUUACACAAGAACAUCUCUAGAAAGAUUAAAAAAAGAGGAAGGAACUCGGCAAAUAUUAACCCCGCCUG
rnacentral:rRNA from 1 species